GCGGGCGUGGCGAAAUUGGUAGACGCAAGGGACUUAAAAUCCCUCGGCCUUGGCUGUACGGGUUCGACCCCCGUCGCCCGCACCA
rnacentral:tRNA from 1 species